rnacentral:rRNA from 1 species
GACGAACGCUGGCGGCGUGCUUAACACAUGCAAGUCGAACGGAUAGGCCCUGCUUUCGUGGGGUUUUCGAGUGGCGAACGGGUGUGUAACAUGUGAGUAACCUUCCCUUUACUUUGUGAUAACUUCAGGAAACUGGUGCUACUACCUGAUAGGUGCUCCUGCUGCUUGGUGGUGUUUGGAAAUUUUCGGCGGUUGUGGAUGUACUCGCGGCUUAUUAGCUUGUUGGUGGGGUACUGGCUUACCAAGGCUUUGACGGGUAGCCGGCCUGAGUGGGUGACCGACGACAUAGGGACUGAGAUGAGGCCGAGACGCCUACGGGAGGCAGCAGUGGGGAAUAUUGCACAAGGGGCGGAAGCCUGAUGAAGCAACGCCGCGUGCGGGAUGACGGCCUUCGGGUUGUAAAACGCUUUCGCCUGUGACGAAGCGUGAGUGAAGGUAAUGAAUAGAGAAACAACGGGUAAGUACGUG